rnacentral:rRNA from 1 species
AUACGUAGGGUGCGAGCGUUGUCCGGAAUUACUGGGCGUAAAGAGCUCGUAGGUGGUUUGUCGCGUCGUCUGUGAAAUUCCGGGGCUUAACUCCGGGCGUGCAGGCGAUACGGGCAUAACUUGAGUACUGUAGGGGAGACUGGAAUUCCUGGUGUAGCGGUGAAAUGCGCAGAUAUCAGGAGGAACACCGGUGGCGAAGGCGGGUCUCUGGGCAGUAACUGGCGCUGAGGAGCGAAAGCAUGGGUAGCGAACAGGAUUAGAUACCCUGGUAGUCCAUGCCGUAAACGGUGGGCGCUAGGUGUAGGGGUCUUCCACGACUUCUGUGCCGUAGCUAACGCAUUAAGCGCCCCGCCUGGGGAGUACGGCCGCAAGGCUAAAACUCAAAGGAAUUGACGGGG